rnacentral:rRNA from 1 species
CGGCUACACAUGCAAGUCGAGGGGCAGCGAGGGUAGCAAUACCUGUCGGCGACCGGCGCACGGGUGCGUAACACGUAUACAAUCUGCCUGCUACUAAGGGAUAGCCCUCUGAAAGGAGGAUUAAUACCUUAUAAUACAGGGCUGCGGCAUCGCAAUAUUUGUUAAAGAUUAAUUGGUAGCAGAUGAGUAUGCGCAACAUUAGGUAGUUGGUGAGGUAAAGGCUCACCAAGCCGACGAUGUUUAGGGGUUCUGAGAGGAAGGUCCCCCACACUGGAACUGAGACACGGUCCAGACUCCUACGGGAGGCAGCAGUGAGGAAUAUUGGUCAAUGGGCGAGAGCCUGAACCAGCCAAGUCGCGUGAAGGAAGACGGUAUUAUGUAUUGUAAACUUCUUUUGUAGAGGAAUAAAGAGCGUCACGUGUGAUGUAUUGUAUGUACUUUACGAAUAAGCAUCGGCUAACUCCGUGCCAGCAGCCGCGGUAAUACGGAGGAUGCAAGCGUUAUCCGGAUUUAUUGGGUUUAAAGGGUGCGCAGGCGGGUUGUUAAGUCAGUGGUGAAAGUUUGCCGCUUAACGGUAAAAUUGCCAUUGAAACUGAUGAUCUUGAGUGCAAAUGAGGUAUGCGGAAUGUGCAGUGUAGCGGUGAAAUGCUUAGAUAUUGCACAGAACACCGAUUGCGAAGGCAGCAUACUGGGAUGCAACUGACGCUGAGGCACGAAAGUGUGGGUAUCAAACAGGAUUAGAUACCCUGGUAGUCCACACAGUAAACGAUGAUUACUGACUGUUUGCGAUAUAAUGUAAGCGGUUAAGCGAAAGCGUUAAGUAAUCCACCUGGGGAGUACGUCGGCAACGAUGAAACUCAAAGGAAUUGACGGGGGCCCGCACAAGCGGAGGAACAUGUGGUUUAAUUCGAUGAUACGCGAGGAACCUUACCCGGGCUUGAAAUGGAGUGGAAUAAUUUGGAAACAGAUUAGUCAGCAAUGACCACUUUGUAGGUGCUGCAUGGUUGUCGUCAGCUCGUGCCGUGAGGUGUCGACUUAAGUGUCAUAACGAGCGCAACCCUUACCGAUAGUUACCAUCAGAUAAUGCUGGGGACUCUAUUGGGACUGCCACCGUAAGGUGUGAGGAAGGAGAGGAUGACGUCAAAUCAGCACGGCCCUUAUGUCCGGGGCGACACACGUGUUACAAUGGGAGAAACAAAGGGUCGCUACCUGGCAACAGGAUGCUAAUCUCGAAAAUCUCUCUCAGUUCGGAUUGGAGUCUGCAACUCGACUCCAUGAAGCUGGAUUCGCUAGUAAUCGCACAUCAGCCAUGGUGCGGUGAAUACGUUCCCGGGCCUUGUACACACCGCCCGUCAAGCCAUGGAAGCUGGAAGUACCUGAAGUAUGUAACUGAAAAGAGCGUCCUAAGUAACU